rnacentral:rRNA from 1 species
UACGUAGGGUGCGAGCGUUGUCCGGAAUUAUUGGGCGUAAAGAGCUCGUAGGCGGUGUGUCACGUCGUUCGUGAAAACCUGCAGCUUAACUGUGGGCGUGCAGUCGAUACGGGCAUCACUGGAGUUCGGCAGGGGAGACUGGAAUUCCUGGUGUAGCGGUGAAAUGCGCAGAUAUCAGGAGGAACACCGGUGGCGAAGGCGGGUCUCUGGACAGUUCCUGACGCUGAGGCACGAAGGCCAGGGGAGCAAACGGG